rnacentral:lncRNA from 10 species
CUCUGAUCUACCCUCCCACAGCUCCCAUUCAUUGAGGGUGAAGCCAUGGAUAACCAGCGUGUUCAGAGUUGGCUUCAUAAAGCUGCAUGAGGAUAUUCUUGAGCCAGUCUCUCAUCCGUAGAGGAAACUGAAUCACUUCAAAGUCCGUACAAGUAGGAAUAGCUGUUACAAGCAGAAAAUGUACUGUAAUCUUUGGGCUUAUUUGUGUCCUAUGGCAAGUCCUCAUAAUAGGAAGCUUAACGACUUCUGGCAACUGACAGAGCUUUCUCAGGUCCCCAUUAUUAUGACAGUGGUCCUCAGCCCUGGCAGCAGCACAACAAAAUUGCCUGGGGUUUUAAAAAACAUACCAAAUGCCAGCUUCCAAUCAAGUAAAUUCUGAUGUGAUUGGUCUGGCGUGAAGUCUGGGCAUCAGGAUGUUUUUAAAGCUCCAAGAUCUAUUUGGAUGUGCAGCUAGGCCCCAGAAUCACUGCUGUAGAAUCAGAGUUGAAAUUUGUAGGUGGAGGGCACAAGUGCUAUUGAAUAGAGAAAAAGGUAGCUAUUAGCUGAUACUACAGUAAGAAAUAAUGCUAAAUCUCAGUGGCUUAAAGAAACAGAAGUCAAUUUUGCAAUCCUGCUACAAGUCCAAUACAAGUUGGCAGGAGGGCUCUGCUCAUUGCAGUCUCCCCAGAGCUCAGGAUCACUGCCGUUUUUUUUUUUUUUUAAUUAUACUUUAAGUUCUGAGAUACAUGUGCAGAAUGUGCAGGUUUGUUACAUAGGUAUACACAUGCCAUAGUGGUUUGCUGCACCCAUCAACCCAUCAUCUACAUUAGGUAUUUCUCCUAAUGCUAUCCCUCUCCUAGUCCCCCAGCCCCUGACAGGCCCUGGUAUAUGAUGUUCCCCUCCCUGUGUCCAUGUGUUUUCACUGUUCAACUCCCACUUAUGAGUGAGAACAUGCAGUGUUUGGUUUUCUGUUCCUGUGUUAGUUUGCUGAGAAUGAUGGUUUCCAGCUUCAUCCAUGUCUCUGCAAAGGACAUGAACUUAUCCUUUUUUAUGGCUGCAUAGUAUUCCAUGGUGUAUAUGUGUCAUAUUUUCUUUAUCCAGUCUAUCACUGAUGGGCAUUUUGGUUGGUUCCAAGUCUUUACUAUUGUGAACAGUGCUGUAAUAAACAUAUGUGUGAAUGCAUCUUUAUAGUAGAAUGAUUUGUAACCCUUUGGGUAUAUACCCAGUAAUGGGAUUGCUGUAUCAAAUGGUAUUUGUAGUUCUAGAUCCUUGAGGAAUUGCCACACUGUCUUCCACAAUGAUUGAACUAAUUUACUCCCACCAACAAUAUGAAAGCGUUCCUAUUUCUUCACAUCCUCUCCAGUAUCUGUUGUUUCCUGACUUUUUAAUGAUCGCCAUUCUAACUGGUGAGAGAUGGUAUCUCAUUGUGGUUUUGAUUUGCAUUUCUCUAAUGACGAGUGAUUAUGAGCUUUUUUUCAUAUGUUUUUUGGCUGCAUAAAUGUCUUCUUUUUGAGAAGUGUCUGUUCAUAUCCUUCACCCACUUUUUGAUGGGGUUGUUUUUUUCUUGUAAAUUUGUAUCUGUUCCUUGUAGAUUCUGGGUAUAAGCCCUUAGUUAGAUUGACAGAUUGCAAAAAUUUUCUCCCAUUCUGUAGGUUGCCUGUUUACUCUGAUGAUAGUUUCUUUUGCUGUGCAGAAGCUCUUUAGUUUAAUUAGAUCCCAUUAAUCAAUUUUGGCUUUUGUUGCCAUUGCUUUUGGUGUUUUAGUCAUGAAGCCUUUGCCCAUGCCUAUGUCCUGAAUGGUAUUGCCUAAGUUUUCUUCUAGGGUUUUUAUGGUUUUAGGUCUUAUGUUUAAGUCUUUAAUCCAUCUUGAGUUAAUUUUUGUAUGAAGUGUAAGGAAGGGAUCCAGUUUCAGUUUUCUGCAUAUGGCUAGCCAGUUUUCCCAGCACCAUUUAUUAAAUAAGGAAUCCUUUCCCCAUUGCUUAUUUUUGUCAGGUUUGUCAAAUAUCAGAUGGCUGUAUAUGUGUGGCAUUAUUUCUGAGCCAUCUGCUCUGUUCCAUUGGUCUAUAUAUCUGUUUUGAUACCAGUACAAUGCUGUUUUAGUUACUGUAGCCUUGUAGUAUAGUUUGAAGUUAGUUAGCGUGAUGCCUCCAGCUUUGUUGUUUUUGCUUAGGAUUGUCUUGGAUAUAUGGGCUCUUUUUUGGUUCCCAACUUUAAAGUAGUUUUUUUCUAAUUCUGUGAAGAAAGUCAGUGGUAGCUUGAUGGGGAUAGGAUUGAAUCUAUAAAUUACUUUGGGCAGUACAACCAUUUUCACGAUAUUGAUUCUUCCUAUCCAUGAGCAUUUGUUUGUGUCCUCUCUUAUUUCCUUCAGCAAUGGUUUGUAGUUCUCCUUGAAGAGGUCCUUCACAUCCAUUGUAAGUUGUAUUCCUAGGUAUUUUAUUCUCUUUGUAGCAAUUGCAAAUGGGCAUUCACUUAUGAUUUGGCUCUCUGCUUGUCUGUUAUUGGUAUAUAGGAAUGCUUGUGAUUUUCGUACAUUGAUUUUGUAUCCUGAGACUUUGCUGAAGUUGCUUAUCAGCUUAAGGAGAUUUUGGACUGAGAUGAUGGGGUUUUCUAAAUAUGCAAUCAUGUCAUCUGCAAACAGGGACA